UACGUAGGUGGCAGGCGUUAUCCGGAUUUAUUGGGCGCAAAGAGAACGCAGGCGGUCUUUUAAGUCUGAUGUGAAAGCCUUCGGCUUAACCGGAGUAGUGCAUUGGAAACUGGGAGACUUGAGUGCAGAAGAGGAGAGUGGAACUCCAUGUGUAGCGGUGAAAUGCGUAGAUAUAUGGAAGAACACCAGUGGCGAAAGCGGCUCUCUGGUCUGUAACUGACGCUGAGGUUCGAAAGCGUGGGUAGCAAACAGG
rnacentral:rRNA from 1 species